UGCGCAGGCGGGGAAAUAAGUCAGUGGUGAAAAGCUGCCGCUUAACGGUAGUCUUGCCAAUGAUACUGUUUUUCUUGAGUAUGGUUAAGGUAGGCGGAAUGUGCAGUGUAGCGGUGAAAUGCAUAGAGAUUGCACAGAAGGCCGAUUGCGGAGGCAGCUUACUGAGCCAUAACUGACGCUGAGGCACGAAAGCGUGGGGAUCGAACAGGAUUAGAUACCCUGGGUAGUC
rnacentral:rRNA from 1 species